rnacentral:lncRNA from 1 species
UAAGGGACAAGCUGUAUGUAGUAAUGUUAGAAACCAGCCCAAGUAAUUGCUCUCGCUCACACCUUAUGCAGUAUAAAUAUUAUGUUGUAUCAAUAAACCGAGGAACUCAUUUGGAAACAGCUACCUUAUGUGAGUGUCUCCUUGCUGGUUCCCAAAGCGCGCUUUGAGGGAAGCAGGUUCCUGUCCGUCAACCAGAGGUUCUUAGAAUGUUAACGCCUACAAGCUGGUGUUAGAGGUGGGAUGCAACUAGAAACGUGAAGGGUAAGUGAAUUGUGUCUUUUAGACGCCUAUUCUCUUGCUCUCACUAUUCACAUGUUGCAUCUCUAGUUAAGGGGAUUUUUGGGGCUAGUCUGUGGUAGACUAGGAGCUGGUCUUUGGUAGACUAAAUAAAGGAACUCCCUGGGUGGGAGACACACCUUUGGUAGGCUAAGUAAUAUGGGACUUCUUUGGUAGAAGUCAGGAGUACCGGUACCUAAAUUAUAUUGAAUACAUGUACCUUCUUGACGGCCAGGUUUAACCCUAAUCCCUGUGCAUGACAGCUUGCUUGCUAUAAAAAUUGCUGUAUGGCUAUAUUGCAUAGAGUAUAAGUUAUGUAUAUUAUAUACCAUUGAUGUACUUGAUUUUAAGCCACUGAGAUUGUGAACAAGUUACAGUCUUGUGGGACCCCCUGCGUUCCAAGCAGCUGCUCUUGUUCACUGAUUAAUCAAGGAUACAGAUUGGAUUGAAUUACUCAAUUUUAAGCAUAAAAGCUCGUGAGUAAGUGACAGUAUUGUCGGAACCUUGCUUCCAAGACAGCUGCUCUUACUCAGUCUUGAGUGUUAGAGAGUUCUGACAAAUGCAGGUGAUACCAUGUCUGUGUAAUCUGGUCCAUGUUUGCUCAAUUUCUAUAAGAUUAUAAGAGAGAAAUUCUAUUGACAGGGUACAUAUGUUGCAAUUAGUUAAUGCAAGUUUCAUACAAAUAUCUAAGUUAAGAGCACGCUAUAUAAAGGGAUCCCUUCUUUAUAAACAAUACUGUAGUAGAAUAAUUAAUAAGGUAAUAAAGGAAAUAAAUCUGAUACAAACUAAAAUUGGUAUACCUUACAAUAAUAUAUUCUGAAUACAGCUGUUAAAAGUUUAUUCUGUGUAAAUGGUGACUGUGAUGAUGUGUGAUAUUAUAAUGAUUGCGGAGUAUGAGUUCUAUGGUUUGUAAUGAAUUGGUGUGUUAUGUGUUUUAUUGUCCAUUGUGUAGGAGUUUAAAUAGUAAAUUGAAGACUGUCUGCAUGCCAUUAACACUUCAGUGUUUUGUUUUUUUUGCAAAAGGUGAAAUGCUGUCCAGCCGGCAAGAAUUAAAUUUUAUCAAAUUUAAUAAAAUAAAAGAAUAAAAUUAAAUAAAAGUUCCCUCAAAGCGCGCUUUGGGAACUGGCAAGGAGAAACAAACAAGGUAGCUGUUUCCAAACGACUUCACAAAGCACACUUUGAGGGAAGCUGGUUCCUGUUCCUCAACCAUAGGCUCUUAGAUUGUUAACCCCUACAUUUACUAGAAGAGCAAUUUGCUUUUCAUGAAUAAAAAGAAAUGUCCCCAAUAGUGGUCCUGGAUCCCUGAGUGCAGAUUGCUUCCUUAUCAAAGUUUUCCCAGUAUUCUUUGACCUUCUUCCUGUGUGGCCUUCUUCCACCUCUGACACAAAUAUGCCCUGUGUAUCUUCCCUUACCCUAUUAAGAGAGAGCGAGGGGCAAUAAACUAAAUUCCUUGACAAAAAUAAAUAAAAAUAAAAUAAAAAAUACUAAGUUUUGUUGCAACAAUUCAAACUUAAAAAAGGAUUGUAUCGCAAGAAAAAGCUGCCAGAAAAAAAAGUGAUGCAAUAAUAAUAAUAAUCCAUCUUUGCCCAGCAAUGGCUUUGCACACAUUGAGCUAGCAUAGCGGGAAAAGCUUUUAGAAUGAAAUUUCCAGGCAAGUCUCAUGAUAACUGAGAUAUACUUGCCAGAGCACUCUGUAAGAAAACAAAUAGACUGCUCUAACUGAAAUUUCAUAGCAAUUUCCUCCAAACCGCACAGUCCAACAGACAGCAAUGGUUUUGGACAACCAAAAAUGUAUUUCUCCCGAAUACAUUCGGGAUGAAGCAAAAGUUUCCAUUGUGACAAAAACUGUCUACUGACUAAUUACCUACAUGUUCAUUUCUUUUACACUAGUUGUCUGAGCAACAUGUAAUGUGUGUCUUUACUUUUUUUUUCAGUUUCGUCAUUCUGUCAAAUUAUGAGCCUUCGGGAUUGCUGGGUAGGAAAUUGUUCUGUGUGCACUCUGCGAACUCCCAGUACAGCAAAACACACAGACAUUAGGAGGCUCACUUGCAUAUAUUGAGUAGCCAGAACAUGUUCAUUCUUUACAAGAAAUUGGAUGGUGAAAUUAUGACUCCAAAAAUUACUCAAUAGGGUAAGGGUGGAAUUUGGACUCCGAAGAUGAGGAAAAUUACUGAGUAAAUGUGAGGGUUUUUAAAAAAAUAAAUUCUUUAUAACUAUCAAUUAAAUCAUGUUGUGGUAAAAAUAUUUGCUUAGAAUAUUUAAUCUAUUAUUUUUUUUAUUUAACAUGAAUUAUUCUUGCCACAAUUACUCUUUAAAUAUACAUAUUAAUUCUGUUCAAUAAAGCACAUUUCUGGAUUCCAGAGACAUGUGCUUGAGAAAUUAUAAAAUGAAAAUGCACAAAAGAACUAUGCUACUGUUUGAACGAUUAUUUUAACAGUUUGAUCCUGCAG